GGGCGCCUAGCUCAGUUGGCAGAGCAACUGACUCUUAAUCAGUGGGUCGGAGGUUCGAAUCUUCCGGCGCCCACCA
rnacentral:tRNA from 1 species